rnacentral:rRNA from 1 species
CGGAGGAAGAGAAAGAAACAUCGAUUCCGGAAGUAGCGGCGAGCGAAACCGGAAGAGCCCAAACCGGGAUGCGUGCAUCCCGGGGUUCGGACCGCGUAAUUGAUCUUAUGAGCCUAGCAGAAUGGUUUUGGGAAAGCCAGCCAGAGAGGGUGAAAGCCCCGUAAGCGAAAGGCGAGUGAGCAUGGCGGUAUCCAGAGUAGGUCGA